rnacentral:rRNA from 1 species
UACAGAGGUGGCAAGCGUUGUUCGGAAUUACUGGGCGUAAAGGGCGCGCAGGCGGCGCAUUUUGUCAGGCGUGAAAGCCCCGGGCUUAACCUGGGAACUGCGUUUGAUACGGAUGGGCUAGAGUUCGGGAGAGGAGAGUGGAAUUCCCAGUGUAGAGGUGAAAUUCGUAGAUAUUGGGAAGAACACCGGUGGCGAAAGCGCUCUGCUGGGCCGCAACUGACACUAAUGGACGAAAGCUAGGGAGCGAAUGGG